AGCUGAGCACUGAGACCAAGGGCUAAAGCUGGGAGACUGAAAAAAUGCAGACCACCAGGGCAUUACUUAUUUCUCCGGCUCUGAUCCGAUGUUGUAUCAGGGGUCUAAUCAGGCCUGUGUCUGCCUCCUUGAAUAACCCAGAGAAUUCAUCUCAACAGCCUUCCUACAGCAGCUCCCCACUCCAGGUGGCCCGACAGGAGUUCCAGACCAGUGUUGCCUCCUGGGACAUUGACACAGCAGCCAAGUUUAUUGGUGCUGGGGCAGCCACAGUUGGUGUGGCUGGUUCAGGGGCUGGCAUUGGAACGGUGUUUGGCAGCUUGAUCAUUGCUAUGCCAGGAACCCAUCUCUCAAGCAGCAGCUCUUCUCCUACGCCAUUCUGGGCUUUGCCCUGUCUGAGGCCAUGGGGCUCUUCUGUUUGAUGGUUGCCUUCCUUGUCCUCUUCAUCAUGUGA